UUUACCUUCCCACCAGCUUUGCACCAGAGUUCCCUUUUCCUCUGCAGCCUUCCUAACACUCGCUCUCUGCUGUCUUUUUGGUAAGAGCCACGUUGACAGGUGUGAGGUGCUAUCUCCCUGAGGUUUUGAUGUGCUUCCCUGCUGACUGAUGAGGAAACAGAGACACUGAGAAGCUUUAAGCUGUUUGCCCAAGGGCACCGCAGCCGGGAUCCAUGCCAGGCUUAAUGACGGCAGAGCCUGCUCUCACCUCUCUGAGGCUCAAUCUCUCCAUGGGAAACUGGAUGGAGAAUCAAAUUGUGGCCAUUGCCAUCGUCCUGAUCACUAAAGUGGCUACUAGAAAACUUGAAAUGAUGUCAGUGGCUCAGACUGGAUUUCGACCGAACUGCGCUGGUCCCUUACCUUCCUGCACGCACGUGCCUCCCCGCCCUCUAGGAGGAGCUGCGGUGAGGGUUGGCCUGUCCCUGGGCCCCGCCCGUCAGGCUUUGUCUUUCGGGUUCUCUUGACCUCAGGACAGCGGCUGGGUGUCCCUCGACCGGUCUGGGCCCGCUGUGCUCGGGCGCCCUCUAGCGGCUCCUCUCUCAGGCGGUUCUACUCUUCCGCGACAUCCCAUCCUCGUGAGGAGGACUGUAUUUGAAACAAUUUGUGGUCCCAAGCCAGUCGUUCCACUCAUCACCUGUUCCUGUUUUGAUUUCUAGUUAAUUCAAAGUCAAUUUACGGAGAAAAAAUUUUUUUAUUACUCAACGAAUUUAUUACAUUUAUAGUUGUACAAUGAUCAUCACAAUCCAAUUUUAUAGGAUCUCCAUCCCACACCCCCAGCGUGUCUCCCCGCCCCUUUGCAGAGAAAAUUUGAGACAUAUUCUGGUACCUAUUUAUUAUCUUCUUAGGUCUCAAUACAAUUAAAAUGAAUUUAUCUUGGAGUUCCCUAGUGGCUCAGCGAGUUAAG